UACGUAGGUGGCAAGCGUUGUCCGGAUUUACUGGGCGUAAAGGGCGCGUAGGCGGCUUUAUAAGUCGGGGGUGAAAGCCUGUGGCUCAACCACAGAAUUGCCUUCGAUACUGUAGAGCUUGAGACCGGAAGAGGUAAGUGGAACUGCGAGUGUAGAGGUGAAAUUCGUAGAUAUUCGCAAGAACACCAGUGGCGAAGGCGGCUUACUGGUCCGGUUCUGACGCUGAGGCGCGAAAGCGUGGGGAGCAAACAGG
rnacentral:rRNA from 1 species